rnacentral:lncRNA from 1 species
CCUCAAGUAAACAUCAAACAUGUGCCACUCAAUCAUAGUUUUCUAACUAGAUGCCACUCGUCAUUUAGACUCAUCAACAAUGUUAGCUCUUUAACAUUAUAAGUUCUAAUCAUCUCAUAUAGGGUUAAAUUUCAUCAUUAAACUCUAUCAUUUAAUCUCAUGCAUACUAGUUUAUAAAUCAUACAAUCAACCAUAUCUAUAGCUACUAGCAUGCAAUUUGGAGCAAUAUAAUUAACCUUUAACCCUACAAGAACAUGCACAAUAUGCAACUUGGUCAUAUUUAAACUUAGACAUAAUAAGUAGCCCG